GGAGAGGUGGCCGAGUGGUCGAAGGCGCUCCCCUGCUAAGGGAGUAUACCGGGAACGGUAUCGAGGGUUCGAAUCCCUUCCUCUCCGCCA
rnacentral:tRNA from 5 species